rnacentral:misc_RNA from 1 species
GGAAGGAUCAUUAACACACAUUAUCCACUUGAAGCUGUGGGUCUCUGGGUCGCAAGAUUCAAGCCUGCAGCGACAAGCACUGUGAGACGUUAAAGUCUUUAACAUUACUUCUACCCUCCGGGGCAGCCGAGUGAUGUUAUACUUUUUUAACCCUUAUCAACCAUUUGACUUAACUGAGUCGAGUUUACACUCGCCAAAGUGAAGUAAAACAUAGACAACUUUUAACAACGGAUAUCUUGGCUCUCGCAACGAUGACGAGCGCAGCGAAAUGCGAUACGUAAUGUGAAUUGCAGAAUUCUGUGAAUCAUCGAAGCCUUGAACGCACAUUGCGCUGGCGGUUCAUGCUGCCAGCAUGCCUGUUUGAGUGUCGGUUACCCAUCACAACAAAACCCACGAAAGUGGGGUCAGAGUCUGUGGUAUUGAGCGUCAAUCUCUCUCGGGAGACUGUCGCUUGAAAUUCAGCAAGGAGUUUGGUAUAUCUAAAAAAGGGACUGCCGGUUCACUGCUAGGUGUGUUAGGAGUAUUCGAUUACAAAUUCUCACCACUGCAGCACCAAUUAAAAGCACACGCCCGAGAUCAUACUCUUUCCAAAAGGAAAAUACAUUUCUCAAACCAUCGACCUCAAAUCAGGCAAGAACACCCGCUGAACUUAAGCAUAUCAAUAAGCGGAGGAAAAGAAACUAACUAGGAUUCCCUCAGUAACUGCGAGUGAAGUGGGAAAAGCUCAAGCCUAAAUCUGGUGCGGUCUACGUACCCGAAUUGUAGUCUAUUGAACGGUACUCACGGGUGGGCUGUCUCGGUAUAAGUCUCCUGGAACGGAGCGCCAAAGAAGGUGAGAGCCCUGUGCACGACCGAGAAGUUCAUGCCUGCCAACACGUGCUGCCAGUUCACAGAGUCGGGUUGUUUGAGAGUACAGCCCUAAGUGGGAGGUAAAUUCCUUCUAAAGCUAAAUACCGGCGAGAGACCGAUAGCGAACAAGUACCGUGAGGGAAAGAUGCAAAGAACUUUGAAAAGAGAGUUAAAAGUGCUUGAAAUUGUUAAAAGGGAAGCGGUUGGGUGCGGUCUAUGCCGGCUGUUGACUCAUUCUCCGAAAAAGCGUUGGUGCCUCGAGGUGAGCGGUCCAUCGUGGCCGUCGCCUCGGGGUUUCCUGGCGUUCUCUCGGGGGAGCAUUUCAGCGGUCGGCGGGUCAGCAUCAUUGAGGGAUGCGGUAGAAGGUUCUCGGGGAGGUGCUACCGGGCGGCUCUCGGGCCGUCCGGUGGGUUAAACCCGGGUUUCCGGCCGUAUCCAUCUCAAUGAGGCACCGAACGGUGGCAACCAGCGCCUUCUUGGCGGAGUACAGGGGGGACUGAGGGUCUUGGACGGAGGGACAGCUUGCUGUGCCUUUUUGAUCCGGGGUUCUCACGGCUCUCCUGCUGCCAGCUGGUUAGCGAUGCUUGACGCAACGCGCCCAACCGACCCGUCUUGAAACACGGACCAAGGAGUCUAACAUAUGUGCGAGUAAUUGGGUGACAAACCCAAAUGCGUAAUGAAAGUGACUGGUGGGAACGGGCUCUAAAGGGCUCGAGCACCAUCGACCGAUCUGGAUAUUUUUGGAUAGAUUUGAGUAGGAGCAUAUCUGUUGGGACCCGAAAGAUUGCGAACUAUGCUUGCAUAGGGUGAGGCCAGACGAAAGUCUGGUGGAGGCUCGUAGCGAUACUGACGUGCCCGAGUGUAUAUAUUUGUGCGUCAAGGUGGGGGGAUACAAACCACCGGAUUGAAGUUCAGUAAUACCACCAAAGUGCCAGCUUUUAAUGGCUGGCAACCAAACAUAUGAUUCAUAUGUAGAGUUAACAGACUAAACGGUGGUAGGUUGAAACCUAAGAUAUAGUCGAUCUGAACCAUUGUGUGUAGUUCAGUUGAAAUGGCAAAUCGUUCGUCAAAUGUGAGUAUAGCGGCGAAAGACUAAUCGAGCAAUCUAGUAGCUGGUUUCCUC